UAGAUAUUCAAUGCUGGAAGCUUGGAUAUCGAAAGCGCAAGCGCCAGAGGGUGAGUCUGCGGCCUAUCAGGUAGUAGGUGGUGUAACGGACCACCUAGCCUAAGACGGGUACGGGCCUUGAGAGAGGGAGCCCGGAGAUGGGUUCUGAGACACGAACCCAGGCCCUACGGGGCGCAGCAGGCGCGAAACCUUCGCACUGCGCGAAAGCGCGACGAGGGGAGCCCGAGUGCCUCUCCAUUUCGGGGAGGCUUUUCACAAGCCUAAAAAGCUUGUGGAAUAAGGGCUGGGCAAGACGGGUGCCAGCCGCCGCGGUAAUACCCGCAGCUCGAGUGGUGGUCGCUUUUAUUGAGCCUAAAACGUUCGUAGUCGGCCUUGUAAAUCCCUGGGUAAAUCGGACCGCUUAACGGUUCGAAUUCCGGGGAGACUGCAAGGCUAGGGACCGGGCGAGGUCAGAGGUACUUUCGGGGUAGGAGUGAAAUCCUGUAAUCCCGAAGGGACCACCUGUGGCGAAAGCGUCUGACUUGAACGGCUCCGACGAUGAGGAACGAAGGCUAGGGGAGCAAACCGGAUUAGAUACCCGGGUAGUCCUAGCUGUAAACUCUGCCCGCUUGGUGUGGCCUGUCCUUCGGGGGCAGGCUGUGCCGGAGCGAAGGUGUUAAGCGGGCUGCUUGGGGAGUACGGCCGCAAGGUUGAAACUUAAAGGAAUUGGCGGGGGAGCACCGCAACGGGAGGAUGCGUGCGGUU
rnacentral:rRNA from 1 species